GGCUAGUAAAACUCGUUUAGCAAUGGUUGAAUUUAAUGUGAUUAAGCUCAUCUGACACUUUAAUAACUCUUGUUUCAACCAAUUCAUUUAUGGCUGCCCAUUUAAUUCAAGUUUGUAAUACCUACAACUCUUAUUUAACCUGCUUUUAUCCGAGAAGGGUCCAAAAGUUUCGGGUCGUAAAGUGAAUGCUUGCAGCUUCUAAAGUUAAGCACACCGUGGGAUCAAAC
rnacentral:misc_RNA from 1 species